rnacentral:rRNA from 1 species
AUUGAACGCUGGCGGCAGGCCUAACACAUGCAAGUCGAACGAGUGGCGGACGGGUGAGUAAUGUCUGGGAAACUGCCUGAUGGAGGGGGAUAACUACUGGAAACGGUAGCUAAUACCGCAUACCAUCAGAUGUGACAAGAUGGGAUUAGCUGGUAGGUGGGGUAACGGAUCACCUAGGCGACGAUCCCUAGCUGGUCUGUGAGGAUGACCAGCCACACUGGAAUUGAGACACGGGCCAGACUCCUACGGGAGGCAGCAGUGGGGAAUAUUGCACAAUGGGCGCAAGCCUGAUGCAGCCAUGCCGCGUGUAUGAAGAAGGCCUUCGGGUUGUAAAGUACUUUCAGCGGGGAGGCGUUACCCGCAGAAGAAGCACCGGCUAACUCCGUGCCAGCAGCCGCGGUAAUUC